UGACAUGUCAGAAAUGAUUUG
rnacentral:misc_RNA from 1 species